GGGAAGAAAUGGAAUUAACAAACUGGGAGGAGAACAAGGAGAUCACAGGCUCCAAACAAGACCAAGCUUUCUCUUGGGAAAUGAGCUUUUCUCCCAGAUGGAGCUCCAUCUGCCCUUGCAGGAUCAGCUCCCCCAAGUGUGCCCUGCUCCACCCUGGGGUUGACCAGCCAGCUCAGCCUGCCUGCCAAUAUGAUGCCUGGAAUUGUCUGUGGUUCUGGGGGCCAAGCCUUGUCAGGAUCAUCACGUAAGGGUGUGUAUGUGCGGAAGGGUGGUGGCUGAGGCUCAGGAUUCAAGGACUAUGGACCAUGGUGGGAAAGUAGAGAAUUGGAGCAGUGACAGGUCAGGGACAUCCCUUCUGAUGUUCCUCAGUUCUCUUCUGUUCUCUGGGCUUCAGCAAUCUGCUGUCUCUUGAACCCAGUGAGGGGAGGGGUGAGUCAGGCAGAAGAAUGAGCUCAGGUAGGAUGGCACGUCAGCAGCCUGGAGUCUGACACCGGCCAAGACACUCAGUGGCAGAGUAAUGUAGAAUAGAACACUCCAUUUCACUAAGACUGGUUCCUUUUCUGUAAGAUUGAGAGGUUAGACUAGUUCACUGGAUUUGAAAUAUUUUUAUUUUUUAAAGAUGCAUAACCUUUCUCCAAAGGAAAUCACAAGGAAAGAAGAGUACUGCCCUGGUUAAGGUGGGGACUCAGGGUUUCUCACACUUACACUCAACCAUUUCCCUUGUGGUAGCCCUGAGAAACUGCCACAGUGCACCAGGGCGUCGCCCAGCUCUGUUGAAAGCCACAGGACUGGAGCACUUGGCAAGUUUGGCUGGCCACCCAAACACAGCUCCUCACGGUUUCUUUCUGUCUUUCCUUUCUCCAUAGAGGCUGGAAAGCUAAAACAGUGAAAGGUAAUGCUGAGCAAUGGAGGCCUAACUAAUGAUGUCAGUGAAAACAGAGGAGGAACUUGUAAUUUACACUCCCCAGCUAACUUCUUCCUCCUCUUCUUCUUUUUUUUUUUUUUUAAAGACAGCAUCCUCCUGUCACUUAGGCUGGAGUGCAGUGGCAUGAUCAUGGCUCACUGCAGCCUCAAACUCCUAGGCUCAAGCAAUCCUCCUGCCUCAGCCUCCCAAGUAGCUGGGAUGACAGAGGCAUGCCACUAUACGCGGCUCCUAGCAAACUUCUUAUAUCCUUAUUAGUUAUUGUGAUAGACUGAUUGCAAAAACAGCCACAAUCGUCUAUCCCUUCCAGUCCACACCCUCUGCAUCCUCAAUCCACACCCUCUGCAAUGUGACCGUGUAGCUCCUCCCAUCAAGAGACAGAAUCCAUUUCCCCACCCUUUGAAUAUGGGCCGGCCUUGAAAUUUGCUUUGAACAGUGUUUAUUGAAAGUGACAAUGUGCCAGCUCCACGCUUAGGUCUUAAGAAGCCUGUGUCUUCUACUGUCUCUCUCUUAAACCCCUGCUGCUGCCAUGAGAACAAGCUGGGGCUAGCCUAUGAGAAAUGAAAUAUCACACAGAGCAGAGCCGAGUUGUCCCAGCAGAGGCCACCCCAGGCCAGCCAUCCUCCAGCCAACCUGCCAGCGGACCCGAGAUGCAUGAGCAACUAGACUCAUGAGAAAUAAUACAUGUUGUUUUAAGGCAUACGUUUUGGGGGUAGUCUAUUUCUGUUCUAGUAUUUAUUGUCGAGUAACACACCACCCCAAAACUUAGUGAUUUAAAACAAUGUAUUAUAUACUCAUUUAUUACAAUCUCCCAAGGUUCUACGCAUUGACUAGUCGCCGUGGGGCAAUUCCCACCUGGGGGCUUUCAGAUGAUUAGUCAGAUGUCGGCUAGGGCUGCAGGUAUCCGAAAGGUUCAGCUUGAGUGGGUGCCUGGGAUGGCUCACCCAGGUGGCUGGCACUGGAUGCCAGCUCUCAUGCUGGACUCAACUGGGCUGUUGACUGCACAUGACCUCUGCAUGGGCAAGGGCUUUUCACACCGGGGUGCUGGGUUCCACGAGGCAGGAAGAGGAUGCUGCUAGGCCAGGUAAGAGUUGUGGCAGCACUGGCACGGCAUCACUUUCUUUCUAUUCUAUUGGUCAAAACAAUCACAGCAUCGACCCUUGGAAACAUAGAUGUCACAUCUUGAUAGGGAAAUGGCAAGGUCACAUUUCAAAAGAGAAGAUAGGAUGGGAGAUAUUGUUGCGGCCAUCUUUGGGAAAUACAAUCUGCCACAGUUGCAUAGCAUUAUUGAAGCAAUGAGUAACACAGACAGAC
rnacentral:lncRNA from 1 species